CAGAGUGGGAAUGCAUCACUAGAUCAUUGCUAAAGCAACAGUGUGGGGCGGUGUUCAAAGGCCAUAGCUGGUAGAACAGAGGCGGGGUGCGAGGAGAACAGAGGAUGCAUUCACAGGCUGCUGCACAGGGACAUACUAAGGAAGGGUUCUCUGGCCUAUGCUAGCACAACAGAAUGGGGAUGGGCUCACCGGCCAUUCCUAGGUAUAAUAGUGUGGGAAUGAGUUAACAGGCCAUUUUCUAUGAGAACAGUUUCAGCAUACGUUCACACAUCGCUGUUAGGAGAACAGAGUGUGGGAUGGGUUUAUAGUCUAUGGCUAGAGUAACAUUGUUAGGAUGGGUUCAUAGGCCAUUGCAAGGAGAACACAGUGGGAGUGGGUUAACAGAUCAUUGCGAGGGGAACAAGAUUAAGAUGGGCUCACAGGCCAUUGCUAGAGGAACAGAAUGGGGAUGGGAUCAUAGACUAUUGCUAUAAAACUAAAUUGGGAUUGGGUUCCCAAGUCACUGCUAGGAGAACAGUGUGGAGAUGGUUGAACAGUCUGGUGCUAAGGCAAAAGCGUGAGGAUUGGUUCACAGGCUGGUGCAAGUGAUACAGUAUUGAUGGUUUCACAGACUGUUUCUAGCAGAGCAGAUUGGGAAUGGGGUCACAGGCAGUUGUCAGUGCAGCAGAGUGGAGGUGGUUUCACAGGCCGUUGCUAGGGGAAGAGAGUAGGGAUUGGCUGACAGGCUGUUACUAAGAGAACAGAGGCAGGAUCAGUUCACACGUUGUUGCUACGAGAACAUUUUGUGGAUGUUCAACAGGUUGUUGCUUGGGGUACAUUGGAGAUGUGGUCACAGUCUUUUGCAAUGAAAUUGGGGAUGGGUAUGAGCCUGUUUCAAGGGGAUCAGAGUGGGGAUGGAUUCAUAGGCCUUUCCAAGGGCAACCGUCUAAGGAUCUGCUCAUAGGCCUUGACUCGGGCAAGACAGUGGCAAUGGGCUCACAGAUUGUUGCUGGGGGAACAGAUUGGGAAUGUUUCACAUGCUGUAGCUACAAGAAAAGACUGGUCGUGUGUUAAUAAGUUGUUGCAAGAAGAAGGGAAUGCAGACGUGUUCACAGGUCAUUGGUAGAACAGUGGAGAUGUGUUGACAGGCCAUUGCUAGCUUAACAGAAUGGUGAUGGGCUUACAGGCUUUUGCUCUUGGAGAAGAGUGCGGAUGGUACACAGGGAGAGAAAAAGUGUAGAACCGACACAGAGAGAGAUCAACAGACAGACCGAGAGGGAAACAGAGGGAUGCACAGAUUGAUUUGUUGUCACAUGUACUGAAAUACAGUAAAAUGUUUUGUUUAUGAGUGGUCCAGAUCAGAUCGGAGCCAGGCAGAGUCAGCAUGGUUUACAAAAAGGAAGUCACGCUUGAGGAAAACGUUCAAUUAAAAAAAACACUAGCCCAAUCACUGUAACUCCUGGGAAACUCGGGCUGCAAAUCACAGCACUCGGUCCCCACUGAAAUCAACUGAUUCACAACACCCCGAUUUUGCAUCUCUUUUUGCUUCUGGCCCUGUCUCACCUUCACCUCCCUCAGCCCAGCCAGAUCCAAUGUCAAUUAGUGUUCAAUGCCAAUGCAGGCCAAUGGCAAAUCCAAUGUUUACCUGGAAAGCGAGCUGGAGGAACAUAAGACACAAGGUGUUACAAUGUGAUGGGGUUGUCGAUGACAGGUUAGAGAGGCACAAGGAUCUCAUCUUUAUGCUCCCAUGUACUAGUUAGAUGAAUAUGCUCAGUGCACAUUACCCCUUCUACAUUCAUCAGUCUUGUGCUUGUGUUUAAGUUUUGAAAAUGGCUUUGAAUGUGAGACAAGUGGAGCUGUAACAAUCCCGUGGUAUUCAGCAGCAAAAAAAACCAAUCAGGCUUUUCCAAAAUGGGUAUCUUCUGAGAUCGUGAGCCACAUGGAAGAAUGAGAACUGUCUCACUGGGGCUCGCCAUGUCUACUUUCAAAGUCUGCUCGAAGUGAUCAGAAACUUUGCUGAAUUUGCACAUUAGGAUUGCAGCACGAGCAAGUGGCCAAUUUCUGGUUGGGUGGAUGGAGAAGCCUGAUUCAUUCAUAUGAAAACCUAGGAUAGAAACUUAUGGCCCUGAGGAGACGCUAUCCUCAAAUUGAGUGACUGCUGGCCACGCUGAGGGAUAUUGUACAGCAGGGAGAAUAGUCAGUCAUCCUGAGCUAUGAAGAGGGGAUGUUGUGAACAUCUGUACUGGACUGAUGGAUGGAUUUUUGAAACUCCUUUUAUCAGAGCUCAGAGUGGCUGGUACACACAGCAAAACCCAAAUCAAUUGAAAUGAUUAUCUCUUCUGAAUGGCUCGCUCUGGCUGAUGGAGAUUGAUUUUACAAACUAACUCAUAGAAUUUCCACGGAGUAACCUCAGUUACAUCACCCGAUUCCAAGGGAUUUCCUUAAUUUUGAAACUAUUCUCUGACAUGGAACUUUUGAAAUCUUUCCAGCUACAGGUUCCAGCAGAUUGUAAUAUUGUAAUCAAUAAGACUGUUUCAGGGCUAAAUAUUUUUUAAUGAGUCAUUAAUAAUUUAAGGAUUUUAUUGUUGUCCUGUGUUAUUUGGGAGAGGUUCAAUGUCUCUGCAUCUGGAGUGACACCUUUGCUGUGGGAUCUGAAUCCAUGUUCAUCUAUUGCUCUCUUUCACUGAUGUUUGAUGACUAGCAUCGGAAUGGUGGGCAGACGGCACACUCUGUGCUGUAAAUCUGUAUAACUCUGUCCAUCUGUAUGGUUUUAUGACCCUUGCUUUCCUUGAUCACCUCUCUGCCAUUGUCGAACUUCCACUGCCUCCAAUCCUGCAUGUAUUUUAGAUUCUGUUUCAGGCUAUACAUUUACUGUGUCUUCUCCCACUGCCCAUCCCCUCACUAUGUGCGACUGGCUUACCAGCAUGAUGUUCCCACAUUAUCUUUCACAGGAAUUGUUUCUUAAGUGCAACAGUUCACCUGUUUUCCACUUCGGAGACAAUAUUAACAAUCACAUUCUGCAGCAUUCCUCACCUCCACCUAAAGGUUGGGAGAUUUUGGCAAACAGCAUUUUCUUUUGUCUCUUCACAAUAGAUAACGCAUUAGCCACAGCCAACCAGUUUGUGCUUACAGUGCUCAAAUAUUAAUAGUGCCCAAUUAAUAUUAAUAACACCUCCUUCAACUCAACCAGACAGGGGCCAGCCCUUCUUUAGUUGAGGUCUCCAGUGAUGCUUUGAAAAAUCAGAGUCAAUCUGUCUGCGUGAAAUUUAAACAAAGUUUGGUCAUCAUCUAACUGGUGCAUUUUCCUUUGCAAUGCCUUGACCAAUCAGAGUCUAUUAUUCGCCCAGGUCAGUACAGUAUAAAACGUUUGCUCCCUUUCCAUUGGUGCUUAUUGUGAAUGAACCGAAGUGUGCAAGACAAAAAGCUUUGAUGAAACUUGCCUUUUUUGCAUACAGUUGGACAUUAUUGAACUGUUGUACAUUGUUGUGGCUCGGCCUCUCUCACAAUGCCACCACACAAGGCCUUAUAGAUGAUUAUGGAGGAACAAUGUGUAUUGUGGUUGAUUAAUUAUUUCAAUAAAUAAAGAGAGGACAGAA